AACAUUAAAUAAACUAUUUCCUUGAAUAAAGCCAUUAACUUCAAAAUGAGUAUAUGCCGCUCUUUUGAGGAAAUUCAGAAUAUCAAAUACAAAAUAAAAAAUCAGGUAUAAGGUGGGGGACAGGAGACAGGAUGUAGGGUAAAGAGCCCAAUAUUUGAGGUCUAAUAGGAAAACUGAGGCUUGUAAAUUGAAUAAAACAUAUUUAGAAAAGUGAAACUGUAGUAUCUGCCAUUAUAAAACUGUUGGGAGCAUAAAAGAUAAAGCAUGAGAACUGAUACACAGUAAGUGCUCAACAAAUGUUAAUAUUAUUAUUUAUUAGGAAAACUGUUUGUUCUUAUUACUGGAUCUUGUGCAGCACAUGAAGAAUAAUUUUGUUCACCAAAAACCCAAACCAGAAUAGUGUUGAAGGUUUUCUUUGCAGUCCCCUUUUUUUAAACUUCAAUAGUUAUCUGAUCUUUUUUUUUUUUUUUUUUGUGGUAUGCGGGCCUCCCUCUGCUGUGGCCUCUCCCGUUGCGGAGCACAGGCUCCGGACGCGCAGGCCCAGCGGCCAUGGCUCACGGGCCCAGCCGCUCCGCGGCAUGUGGGAUCCUCCCAGACCGGGGCGCGAACCCGGUUCCCCCGCAUCGGCAGGCGGACGCGCAACCGCCGCGCCACCAGGGAAGCCCUGAUCUUUUUUAUAGAUCUAUUCAAUGAUAACUAUUUUCGAGCAAAGCAGUUACGGCAAGUUAUAAGAAAAUCAGGGGUUUUAAUUGCUUUUAUUAACCGAUUUAUUAACCUAAUACCGCUUAAAUGGUAAUCAUUCCAUUUUUAUCAUCAGAAAGACUUGUGAUUUAGUAGAAUGUACUGCUUCACUUUUCAAUAUGAUAAUUAACCUUAACAUCCACCUGCAAAGUACUCCACAGUCUUAACAGAAUAAAAUUAUCAUCAUCUAAAUCAUAAAGAUUUAGUAAAAAUGGUGAAGGCUGUCGUCCCUGCGACACUGUAUUCCUAAGAAGCAAAGAAGACUGUAAAAACAGUUUAAAACACACUCCCAUACACUCAAAAAAAUAGACUUUCUGUUCCAAAGUGCAUUCCAGCUUUGUGGACUGCUCAUGACUGUGCCGGAAAAUACAGGGUAAAAGGAUGCUGUUACUCUAUAACCUCACCUGAAGAACAAAGCUCUACGCACAGACCACUCCCUCUGCAACAGACCUUUAUUUGUGUGAGAAUGAUAUCCAAUAUAUUAAAAACAAUGUUAAAAACCAUUGGACCAGGGAGAGGUGUGAUGGAAAGGAAAAUGAGGGAGGCUUCUCAGGUGCUAGUAAUAUCCUGGUGCCAACAAAGUGGGCUUCACUGAACAAGUAAAUUAUCAGUGCCUUCAGGAUAUUCAGGGGCUAACGGGCGAGAAGAGAAUACACAUGAUCACAAGUAAGUCGCAGAGGAAGUGUCGGCUGUCUAGUCCCAUGGAAAGAAUUCACAGAGCAGAGUAAAGAAGACUGGGCGUGCUGAGGCAGGGCGCUCAGAGCAGGCUCACUGAAGUGGUAUCUGAGGAAAGAAUGAAGGUCAGGGAGCAAGUCACGCAGCUUUUAAAAGAAGAGCAAUCCAGGCAGAGGACAGAGCCAGGGCAGAGACCACGAGGUGGAAGCACGUCUGAAGAACAGCAAAGAGGCUGAUGCAGCAGGCGCAGAGGAAUCAAGAGAAUGUGUGGUGAGGACAGGGAGAUGGACAGGGACCUGAUCACUUACCAUUUCACAGGUCACUGUAACGGGAAUCCAAGGAGUAAAAUGAUCUGACUUCCAUUUUUAAAGGACCAUUCUCUCAUGUUAAGAACAGACUACAGAGAAGGAAAGACAGAAGUGGGGAGACCUCGUGGGAAUUCAAGCAAAAAUGAAGAUGGCUUGGACCAAAACAGUAACAGCAAGGAAGGCAGCAGUGGCUGGACUCAAGCUCUGCCAUCGAUCCAGCAGCAAGCCCUGUCAACUUUCCUUCAAGAUACACACCUCACUCUACCCUCUUUCCUUCUCCGCUGCCGCCACCCUCAUCCAGAAUACCGUCCUCUCGCAACCUAAACGUCCCUCCAGCCGGCAGCCAGACCAAUCUGCAUGAAAGCCCAACCCUGCUCGACCUGGCCCGGCCUCACUCUGCACCUGACCUUGUGGCACAGCAGCCCCAGGCAAGAGCCACAGUCCCCUGAACCCAGCCACACCGGAGCCCUCCCAGCUCAAACACCAAGCCUCCGCGCACUUCAGACUCUCGGCACAGAUUCCAGUAAGCACUUAGAAACUGAGACGCUUAUCCUAAGCCGUAGGGAUCAGUAUGUCAGUAGCCCCUCCUUCCCAAGCCUCCAGCAGACUUCAGGGCAUCAAUCCCAACAGUCCCUGACUACGCCUAUGUUAUUAAGGUAAUGUUGUAAGCACAUAAAUAUCCAUGUAAGCCUGCCUGAUCUCCUACCUAGACACGUGUGCUUACUCAAAUACACUCUCCACUUCGUAGAUCAAUCAAAACUCCCCAGCUGGACCCCUAGUUGAUCGGCCUGACCACGGAGGAGCUGAAGGUCACUGGGUGCAUUUACAUGUAUGUGUCCAACCGAACAUCCAUCUCUGACUACCUUCCACACAGAAGAGGGAAAAUCUGCUCAACCAAAAUUUACCAUCUCUAAAAUCCACAGUCAGGAGUCCCCUGCUGGCUGAUUACAAAGCUACACUCAAUUUGGUCACGUCCCAGUCCAAACCCCUAACUUCCUAAAAUGAUGGCAAGCAGGGGAAUAACCAAAUGUUUCAAGUAUGGAGAACGAUGACGUCAGAAACCAUGCAAAACUCUAUUUCUCUGUCAGCAGCCAACCCACUACCCCACACCUCUGGUGAGCUCAAAAACUGGAAGAACUGUUAACAGUUUUUCCCUGCUUGAAAGUUGGACACAUCUGGCCCGUACAUAAUUUGGAGAAGGAGAAAGAAUCAAUUUUAGAUAGCUACCAUAUGAUCAUCUUGAUAAAUACUUACUAAACGUUUUAUCACCUAUAUUUACAUAUUUGGGGAGACUACCCUACAUUUAUUACUUAGAACACUUUGUCCAUUAUAUUAUUCAGAAUACUAUCUAUAAUUCAUAUUCCAUGGUUUU